rnacentral:rRNA from 1 species
GAUGAACGCUGGCGGCGUGCCUAAUACAUGCAAGUCGAGCGAACAGACGAGGAGCUUGCUCCUCUGACGUUAGCGGCGGACGGGUGAGUAACACGUGGAUAACCUACCUAUAAGACUGGGAUAACUUCGGGAAACCGGAGCUAAUACCGGAUAAUAUAUUGAACCGCAUGGUUCAAUAGUGAAAGACGGUUUUGCUGUCACUUAUAGAUGGAUCCGCGCCGCAUUAGCUAGUUGGUAAGGUAACGGCUUACCAAGGCAACGAUGCGUAGCCGACCUGAGAGGGUGAUCGGCACACUGGAACUGAGACACGGUCCAGACUCCUACGGGAGGCAGCAGUGGGGAAUCUUCCGCAAUGGGCGAAAGCCUGACGGAGCAACGCCGCGUGAGUGAUGAAGGUCUUCGGAUCGUAAAACUCUGUUAUUAGGGAAGAACAAAUGUGUAAGUAACUAUGCACGUCUUGACGGUACCUAAUCAGAAAGCCACGGCUAACUACGUG